UGAGAUCACACAGAAACAUCACUGCCUUCAUCAUGAAGGAGAAGACGACAGAAAACACAAAGACUCACCAUGAAGAAGAAGAAAGUUGGAGCCUCGUCUCUUCCUGCUCUAACAUGGAGAAAAACACUAAACUUCCUCUUUUCCUGGUUCAAGGACACCUGAACAGAGCUCCGCCCCCUGGAUGUAUGGAUGUGUUUGUUAGCUCCUCCCUGUAAUCAGACCCUUAGAGAGUCUCUGCUAUACAGGAACUGACAUGACUGUGUGUUCUUUUUUUUAUUAAUAAAGUUAGAAAACUUGUGAAAAACUGAAGGUAGAAAAAUAACAGAAGAAUGAAUAAAAUCUCAGGUAAAGUAAAUUCUUAAGUUCUUCAUCAAACUGCAGCUGAGCUCUCACCAUGUCACACAUCUGCUGUCUGGUUGAUCAAACCUCCUUUCAUGUUGUGUGCAUACGUGAGUGUGUGUCUGUAAAUGUUGUGUGUUUCUCUGACUGUUAAGGACCAACAACAACACAACAUGGCAGCAACCGUCACCACCACAUCCUCAGAGACUUCCUCUGUUUAGCUGCUUCAACAUGAACUAUGGGAACAGAGAAUUGAAACAAUUCUGUAGAAGAUGCAGGAAUAAAGGAGUGCUGCCCCCUGCUGGACAGCUUUCUGACAGCAACUCAGCAGUGAAGCUUCAGGAUGGAGUCAGUUCCAACAGAUCAGAUCAACGUUCUGCUCUCUGCUAAAGAGGAAGAACGUCUCCUUCUAAGAAGAAUCCAGAGUUCAUGAUCACAAACAUCAACUGAAGCCCAAAUCAGAGCUGAUCAGACUGCAUGGAGCCAAAGAAAGACUUUUUCUGACUGAAAAGAGGAGAAAAGAAGAAGUCAUCCACAUGAAGCUUCAAGUCAGUGGAGAAAACUACCUGCUGAACAAAAGUACUCGAGUACUGAGGAAGAGUUUGAACGUCUGAUUUAUUGCUUAGAAU